rnacentral:rRNA from 1 species
AGUGAACGCUGGCGGUAGGCCUAACACAUGCAAGUCGAACGGCAGCACAGUAAGAGCUUGCUCUUACGGGUGGCGAGUGGCGGACGGGUGAGGAAUACAUCGGAAUCUACUUUUUCGUGGGGGGUAACGUAGGGAAACUUACGCUAAUACCGCAUACGACAUACGGGUGAAAGCAGGGGAUCUUCGGACCUUGCGCGAUUGAAUGAGCCGAUGUCGGAUUAGCUAGUUGGCGGGGUAAAGGCCCACCAAGGCGACGAUCCGUAGCUGGUCUGAGAGGAUGAUCAGCCACACUGGAACUGAGACACGGCCCAGACUCCUACGGGAGGCAGCAGUGGGGAAUAUUGGACAAAGGGCGCAAGCCUGAUCCAGCCAUACCGCGUGGGUGAUGAAGGCCUUCGGGUUGUAAAGCCCUUUUGUUGGGAAAGAAAAGCAGCAGGUUAAUACCCCGCUGUUCCGACGGUACCCAAAGAAUAAGCACCGGCUAACUUCGUG